GCAACCUGUGCUUCCCAGGUUCAAGUGAUUCUUCUGAUUCAGCCUCCUGAAUAGCUGGGAUUACAGGCUGGAGUGCAGUGGCAUGAUCUUGGCUCCCUACAUCCUCCACCUCCCGGGUUCAAAGACAGGGUUUCACCAUAUUGGCCAGGCUGGUCUCGAAAUCCUGACCUUGUGAUCCGCCCACUUUGGCCUUCCAAAGUGCUAGGAUUACAGAUGAUGAAAACUUUCGGAAGAGAAAGUUGCCUGUGGUAAGUUCAGUUGUUAAAGUAAAAAAAUUCAAUCAUGAUGGAGAAGAGGAGGAAGAAGAUGAUGAUUACGGGUCUCGAACAGGAAGCAUCUCCAGCAGUGUGUCUGUGCCUGCAAAGCCUGAAAGGAGACCUUCUCUUCCACCUUCUAAACAAGCUAACAAGAAUCUGAUUUUGAAGGCUAUAUCUGAAGCUCAAGAAUCCGUAACAAAAACAACUAACUACUCUACAGUCCCACAGAAACAGACACUUCCAGUUGCUCCCAGAACUCGAACUUCUCAAGAAGAAUUGCUAGCAGAAGUGGUCCAGGGACAAAGUAGGACCCCCAGAAUAAGUCCCCCCAUUAAAGAAGAGGAAACAAAAGGAGAUUCUGUAGAAAAAAAUCAAGG
rnacentral:sRNA from 1 species